rnacentral:sRNA from 1 species
GCUGGGCACAGUGGCACAUGCCUGUAAUCCCAGGUAUUCAGGAGGCUGAGGGAGGAGUAUCACAAGUUCAAGGCUAGCCUUGGCAACUUGGUGAGAGCCUGUCUCAU